AAAGUAUAUUCCUUAAGAACAUUUUUUAAUAUACAUGUCCCUGGCAGCACAACCACAUAUACACAGUCAAAGACAUUCAAAAGCUAACGAAUGCAAAUGAUAUCAUAUGAGUGUCAGCAUUGCCAGCAUCAAAUAAAUCAGUGCACACGUGUCACGGCAAUGCCAUUGGAAGGUUGUUCUGCUUCACUCUUAAUUUGCGUGCAGUUCAACUUUUUGCACUUAUCAAUUAUGGCUGUUUGUUGUCAACUUUUCAACUUUUACCUCACAAUUUUACAACAACAACAAAUCCCAAUCAAUGCGAAAAAUGUGCGUGCGUGUGAGCGCCAAUAAAAGUUUGCCGAGUGCCGCCAACGAAUGCCAAAAAUGUGAGAGCAAAAAAUGUUAACAAUGUCGAUACAAAUUGCUGAACUUUCCAGCUCCCAAAAUGAAAGCGAAAUUCAAAUUAUGAAAAUUGCAAACAAGUGAAAUUUUGAUGACCUAUCAAAUAAAUAAGGUCUUUAUUUUUUUUUGCAUUUAUUUUAGUUAAAAAUGUUUGCAUUCUGCGCUUUAAGCUUUGAGCUUCGACUGUUAAUUAAAAAUUGUCAUAAAUCCUUA